rnacentral:rRNA from 1 species
AUAAUGGCCGAAAAUCUAAGGUUUCUUGGGGAAGGUUCGUCCGCCCAAGGUAAGUCGGGAGCUAAGGCGAGGCCGAGAGGCGUAGUCGAUGCACAUACGGUAGAAAUUCCGUAACCACCGAAACUUAAGUCAGAGGGACACUUUGGAAUAGCGGAACCCGGGCGUUGGUAGACCCGGGCGUAAGGGAGCGAAACUAAAGUAGCGAAGUCCGCGAUGUCCAGAGGCGAGAAAAGCUCUGAGGAAUGCUAAGGUGCCCGUACCGCAAACCGACACAGGUAGAUGAGGAGAGAAUCCUAAGGCCAACGGGAGAAGGGUUGUUAAGGAACUCGGCAAAUUGACCCCGUAACUUCGGAAGAAGGGGAGCCCCCUACGGGGGGUCGCAGAGAAAUGGCCCAAGCAACUGUUUACCAAAAACACAGGUCUAUGCUAAAUCGAAAGAUGACGUAUAUGGGCUGACGCCUGCCCGGUGCCGGAAGGUUAAGAGGAGAUGUCAGGCAACGAAGCAUUGAAUUUAAGCCCCGGUAAACGGCGGCCGUAACAAUAACGGUCCUAAGGUAGCGAAAUUCCUUGUCAGGUAAGUUCUGACCCGCACGAAUGGCGUAAUGAUUUGGGCACUGUCUCAACAGCCCGCCCGGCGAAAUUGUAGUACUGGUGAAGGUGCCAGUUACCCGCAACUAGACGGAAAGACCCCAUGGAGCUUUACUGCAGCUUAAUACUGAAAUUCGGUAGUACAUGUACAGGAUAGGUGGGAGACUGAGAAAUACAGGCGUCAGCUUGUAUGGAGUCGCUGUUGGGAUACCACUCUUGUACUGCUGAGUUUCUAACCUGCGGCCGUGAAUCCGGUCGGGGGACACUGUUAGGCGGGCAGUUUGACUGGGGCGGUCGCCUCCCAAAAGGUAACGGAGGCGCUCAAAGGUUCGUUCAGCACGGACGGAAAUCGUGCAGUGAGUGUAAACGCAUAAACGAGCCUAACUGCGACACCGACGGGUGGAGCAGUAACGAAAGUUGGAGUUAGUGAUCCGGUGGUAUGUGAGUGGAAAUGCCAUCGCUCAACGGAUAAAGGCUACCCUGGGAUAACAGGCUGAUCUCCCCCAAGCGUCCACAGCGACGGGGAGGUUUGGCACCUCGAUGUCGGCUCGUCGCUUCCUGGGGCUGAAUUCGGUCCCAAGGGUUUGGCUGUUCGCCAAUUAAAGCGGCACGCGAGCUGGGUUCAGAACGUCGUGAGACAGUUCGGUCCCUAUCUGUUGCGGGCGUAAGAGAUUUGAAGGGAGCUGUCCUUAGUGCGAGAGGACCGGGAUGGACGUACCUCUGGUGCACCAGUUGUCCUGCCAAGGGCACAGCUGGGUAGCUAUGUACGGACGAGAUAAACGCUGAAAGCAUCUAAGCGUGAAACUCCCCCUAAGAUGAGAUCUCUCAUCCUUUAAGGAGUAAGGACCCAGAAAGACGAUCUGGUUGAUAGGCCGAAGGUGGAAGCGCAGUAAUGUGUGCAGCUGAUCGGUACUAAUAGUCCGAGGGCUUGAUC